AGCAGGGUGGCUAAGGAGACAAAAAGAGAGAGAGAGAGAACACUUGCAUUUGGUAUAGCUCCACUUGAAAAGGUCAUUUUGAUCAAAAAGGUAUCAAGAGCAGAGAAUUCCCAUCAAGUCUUGGCAAAUUGUUAAGGCAGUAAACCAUUUUAAAGGUUGAGGGAAAGUUUUUUAGUUACUGUAUAUUCAGUUGAUAAUGAAAUUUACAAAGAUGACUUGGAAACUGAUUUCUGAGAAGCUUAAUGAUGUUCCUUUUCUUGAUGUGAGUGCUAAUUACAUGUGUGUUCUUUAUAAAAAAUCUACUUCAUAUAAAAUUUACUUAAUUUA